UGGCUAGGCAAGUCCCUUGUUAAAUCCACCGAAUUAAUCGUUGGAUCGCGGGGGAUACUGCUUGGCUAGGGGACGAGAGAGGCAGACGGUAUUUUCGGGGUAGGGGUGAAAUCCUAUAAUCCCGGGAAGACCACCAGUGGCGAAGGCUGUCUGCUAGAACGCGCCCGACGGUGAGGGAUGAAAGCUGGGGGAGCGAACCGGAUUAGAUACCCGGGUAGUCCCAGCUGUAAACGAUGCAGACUAGGUGUUUGGACGGCCACGUGCCGUUCUAGUGCCGCAGGGAAGCUGUUAAGUCUGCCGCCUGGGGAGUACGAUCGCAAGAUUGAAACUUAAAGGAAUUGGCGGGGGAGCACCACAAGGGGUGAAGCUUGCGGUUUAAUUGGAGUCAACGCCGGAAAUCUCACCGGGAGCGACAGCAGUAUGAAAGCCAGAUUGAAGGUCUUGCUAGACGAGCUGAGAGGAGGUACAUGGCCGUCGCCAGUUCGUGCCGUGAGGUGUCCUGUUAAGUCAGGCAACGAUCGAGACCCGCGUCCUCUGUUGCUACCAGCUUUCGAGCUGGGCACACUGAGGAGACCGCCACUGAUAAAGUUGGUAGGAAGGAG
rnacentral:rRNA from 1 species